UGAAGUCACUGAAAAGGAAGUAGAGAC
rnacentral:piRNA from 1 species